GGGGACGAAUACUAUCUACUUCUUAAAAUUAUACAAUUUAAGGAAUAAUCUAUUUCAGUGUGCUCAAAUAUUAAUUUUCCUCAAACUAUUUUGGGAUAGUUUCUUUUGUGGCUAAAGUUUGCAUUGGGACAGCAAAAGACGAAAUAGAAAAUGAAUUGCUAAAGGGAUAUAUAACUUUUUUCAUAAGAAUAAAUAUAGUUCAUAAUAAUCUUUAGAAUAAUCUGGCUAUUUUUCAAAUAUUAUAUUUUAUUUUUCCAGAUAAAUUAGAAGUCAUAUUUCUGCAGUAUAGCAGCUAUCUAAUUUCCCAUCUCUAGGGUAUGUGUUUGUUUUUAGAAAAACAUUCCAGCAGGUGGCGCCAACAUCAUAAUAUUUAACCAUGAAACUAUGCCAGGAGUCGGUAGGGAAACGAAAGUUAUUGUUUUAGCCAGAAGGUGGAGCUAGGUGACCAAUGUUUAAAAUCAGUGUCUGCAUUUGAAAUAGAUAACUUCAAUUUUACUGAAUCACAGGAUUUAUAAUCUGAGUAUUGUGAAGAGCAUUGUCUGAAUCCUCUACCUUCCAUACCUUUAAAUUUCAACUUUAAGUGUAUUGUUUUUACAAUUAAAGAAUUCUGGCCCAGCUCAUGAAAGCAAGAAAUACUUUUAUACUCUAAUUUUUAUUAUUCAUAGUCUUUGCAAAAAAGAGAGCAUAUUUAAAUAUUGUUAUUGUACUGUUUCUGUAUAUGUUUGAAGAUUAUACAUUUUUAAAAAGUAUGUACUUAUCAGACACCACUUAAUCCUCUGCUCUUUUCUUUCUAUUUCUCCACUGUGAUUUUCUUAGGAAGAUGAAACACUGAAUUAGGAAAUCUGGGAAACUGCAGACACAUUUUCUAACAUGUUCAAAUCAGGAAAAAAAAGUCAUUCCAUGUGUGCAUUUCAGAAGGCAUUCAUAGCACUGGCUUCACAAUUUCUCCCUUGGACAACCACAAGAGGCAUCCUUAAAACUGUGAGAGAAAACCUAAUACAACUGAUACAAAUAAAGAAAACCCAGCUCCUCACCCCUUGACCUUCCUCACUGUCACCAAAAUCAAUUUUUUGUUGUUUCUGGGUUUUUCUUUUUUAAAUAAAAAUAAUGCAUUGUUUCUUAUUAUCCUGUGGAUUCAAUGGGCUCAGCUGGACCCUUUUGCUGGAUACCAUGAAGGCCAGUUCAUGCAUAGGGCUGCACUCAGCUGACUGUUCCAUCCAAGAUGUCCCCUCAUGUUCCAGGGUCUUAGUAUUUUAAAGUGGUAAUCAUGACCUUUUAAUGAAUCUUGAAAUCAAUUUAAUGGACCAAUUGUAUUAGUCUGUUCUCAGACUGCUAAUAAAGACAUACCCAAGACUGGGUAAUUUAUAAAGGAAAGAGGUUUAAUUGACUCACAAUUCCACAUGGCUGGGGAGGCCUCACAAUCAUGGUAGAAGGAGAAUGAGGAGCAAAGUCACAUCUUAUAUGGCAGCAGACAGGAGAGCUUGUGCAGGGAACUCCCAUGUAUAUAACCAUCAGAUUUGUGAGACUUAUUCACUACCAUGAGAACAGCAUGGAGGAAACUGCCCCCAUGAUUCAAUUAUCUCCACCUGGCCCUGCUCUUGACAUGUGGG
ensembl:lncRNA